CUUCUACUCCCUCCGUCCGGUAUUUAAGUGUCGCAACUUUGUUCAGAUACGCAUGUAUGUACACAUUAAAACGCGUCUAGAUACAUGUGUAUCUAGACAAAGUUGCGACACUUGAUACCGGAUUGAGGGAGUAUAUG
rfam:Brachypodium distachyon strain Bd21 chromosome 1, whole genome shotgun sequence.